rnacentral:tRNA from 1 species
GAGGGUAUAGUUCAGUGGUAGAGUGCACGCUUAGCAUGCAUGGGUUCUGGGUUCAAUCCCCAGGACCUCCA